rnacentral:rRNA from 1 species
UACGGAGGGUGCAAGCGUUGCUCGGAAUUAUUGGGCGUAAAGGGUAGGUAGGUGGUCUCAUUUGUCUGGGGUGAAAGCCUUGAGCUUAACUCAAGAAGUGCCCCGGAAACGGUGAGACUAGAGUCCUAGAGAGGGUCGUGGAAUUCCCGGUGUAGCGGUGAAAUGCGUAGAGAUCGGGAGGAACACCAGAGGCGAAGGCGGCGACCUGGUCCUUGACUGACGCUGAGGCGCGAAAGCGUGGGGAGCAAACGGG